AUUGAACGCUGGCGGCAGGCCUAACACAUGCAAGUCGAGCGCGAAAGUUCUUCGGAAUGAGUAAAGCGGCGGACGGGUGAGUAAUACAUGGGAAUCUGCCUGGUAGUGGGGGACAACGUUUCGAAAGGAACGCUAAUACCGCAUACGCCCUACGGGGGAAAGGGGGGAGUCGCAAGACCUCUCGCUAUCAGAUGAGCCCA
rnacentral:rRNA from 1 species